UAAAGAUAGAAAAGAUGGCAGACAAAGAGAUAAAAAAUGUAAAAAGAAAGAGAUAAGAUUCCUUUGUACAGUAAAUAACUUUUGCUUUUUUGAAAGGCCAAUGUGUAUAGCCGGCCAUUUGUAAAGUUUUGUUCAAAACUCGUAAAGUGUACAGUAGACGCACUUAUGUGCAGACUUAGGAUUUAGUAUAUAUAGAUUACCAAAUUGUAAAUGAAAGGCAGACAAUGCCAAACUAAAGUUCAUGUUAAUAAACCCUCUCUCAAAAUAUCAAGCUCUCUCAAAGAUACAAACUAAGAAAAACAUAUGGAAAAUUCGGAAAUACAAUAAGAUAUCUCAGAUAGCAUGACAAAUCAAGAGACAAAGUCCAUUCUUUCGAUUUUCCACGAUGACAUCUCGUUUGAAGUUUGCAUUUGUAAGGUCCCCUACGAUUAAUCCAGCAACUUCAGAAGCCGUUGGCCUAUUGUAUUGUCGUCCAUCUUGGCUCCUUUCUGAUAGGAUGCGCAUAUGGAACUGUGCUUGUGGUUACUCUCUGUAUAUAUCCUUUGCCAUAAGUAAUGAUUUGACCGAAACAUUAUGCUCGUCUAGAAUUUCAGAUAUCCCUUGUACAAUUUCAGUUUCAACUUCUUCAUGCAUCCCACUGUUGAUUUUAUUCUCUAUAUCUCAUUAUCGAUAUCAUAUAAAUAUAGUUGUGUAAAUUGUGGGUUUUCCCAAUUUCUAGUAAUAGUGAGCCUAUGUGGUGAUAAGUUUUCCCA